GCUCGUUGGGUAGGGCGUUGGCUUUUAAACAAAUGGUCGCCGGUUCGAAACCUGCACGAACCACCAGUUUUAGCAUCGAAGACAGAUGUUAAGCGUGUAGGAUAACGUUGCGUCAGCAACGGCCCGAAGGGCGAGCGAAGCGAGUCAUCCUGCACGACCCACCA
rnacentral:sRNA from 1 species